rnacentral:rRNA from 1 species
AUUGAACGCUGGCGGCACGCCUAACACAUGCAAGUCGAGCGGCAGCGAGACUAGUAGCAAUACUAGUUGUCGGCGAGCGGCGGACGGGUGAGUAACACGUAGGAAUCUGCACUUAAGCGGGGGAUAACCAAGGGAAACUUUGGCUAAUACCGCAUAAUCUCGCGGGAGCAAAGCUGCCCGCAAGGGUGGCACUUGAGGAGGAGCCUGCGUCCGAUUAGCUAGGUGGUGGGGUAAUGGCCUACCAAGGCGAUGAUCGGUAACUGGUCUGAGAGGACGAACAGUCACACUGGGACUGAGACACGGCCCAGACUCCUACGGGAGGCAGAAGUGGGGAAUAUUGGAAAAUGGGGGCAACCCUGAUCCAGCGAUGCCGCGUGAGUGAAGAAGGCCUUCGGGUCGUAAAGCUCUUUAGGUUGGGAAGAAGGGUAUUGGCUGAAUAAUCCAGUACUUUGACGGUACCGACAGAAUAAGCACCGGCAAACUCUGUGCCAGCCGCCGCAGUAAGAC